ACUCCUACGGGAGGCAGCAGUGAGGAAUAUUGGACAAUGGGCGCAAGCCUGAUCCAGCCAUGCCGCGUGCAGGAUGACGGUCCUAUGGAUUGUAAACUGCUUUUGUACGAGAAGAAACACUCCUAUGUAUAGGAGCUUGACGGUAUCGUAAGAAUAAGGAUCGGCUAACUCCGUGCCAGCAGCCGCGGUAAUACGGAGGAUCCAAGC
rnacentral:rRNA from 1 species